ACACUUCCUUUGUAGUACUUGAUGUUCCAGUGCUAAUUUUCUGUGUGGCUUUUUUUUCUGGUUAUAGGUCAGUCCUGUAAUUUCCUCCAUUUGUUCCCCCGCCUCUACCAAAAGUGACCCAUUUGAACUCGAGAUAGCUGCUCCAGUGUAUUCCAGACAGAGGCAUCUUCCUGUCUUACAUCUGAAUACCGUCUGCUCACUCAAAGAUAACCACUUGACAGCGUGCUCUGAUAUUAAAUUCUUGGGGAAAGGAAAAGGUUUUGCUUGAGAUCUCAGAAUGCCAAUGCUGUUGUAAGCCUACAUGAAAUCCUGGCUACAAGCGCCUGCUCACACACCGGUUGUGUAUCUGCUGGGUCAGAGUCACAGAAUUCCACCUGGAGCUGUCAUUCACUCUACAUCAACUGAAAAUACUUGAGAACCUUCUCUUGCACUCUUUCCCUUUCCUAACAGUUUCAUACAUAAUCUAUGGGUAAUUCUACAGCACUUUUUUCUUAAAUGACUGAGUAUAUCUCUGAUCAGGAUGUAGCAAUCACAGAAUAAUAAGCAUAAUCACAUCAAGGAAGAUUUUGUUGCUUUGUCUGUGGAAAAUGCCUAUGGGAACCUGCACCUGCUCCAAAUCUGGAAAUGCUUUCAGGAUGUCAAAUAUCAAUUGUCAUUGACUUCCAAUGAACCUUUUCUGAAAACAGAAUUAAUGCAGUUUCCUUGAAAUAUUAUCUCAUUUGGCUUGUACAUAGUCACCUUGAAUUGUUUUAUGAGGUGGGGGUGGGGGGGAUAUAUAUCACAGAAAUAAAAAAAUUAAAAUGAAGAUUUUUGUGAAUCAUUUUUCCAGUUUAGAGAACAAUUAUUUUGAGAGAUGGCUUUUUAAAGAAAUAACUUGUAUAUAUUU
rnacentral:lncRNA from 1 species